AUCCAUCUGACGAGUCCCAAAUAGGACGAAAUACGCAUCUUGGAU
rnacentral:hammerhead_ribozyme from 1 species